UAGUUUUACCUGAAUUUGAUAUAUCUCUAAGCUGGGAAAAAGAGUGCUACAAGAUUAUUUUGUUCUGUUUGUCCAACAGUAAAUCUAAGAUGUUCAAGUGCAGUGUGACAGUUGAAGAUGCCUCUGUUUACGAAGAAUCCAGCAAUGAAAACAUACUCCCAUGUCAGCAGCCACGCCUACCCACAUAAACUGCUAAACACCAUGUUUUCCCUGAAAUAACAAGAAUUCCAGUCUACAUGGGAAUCAACAUGUGUCAUAUUUCCAUGUUCUGCAACAAAGAUCAUUUCACUGCUGAAGAAAAGUGCCAAUCACUGAGAAGAACGUCAACCUUGGUGUACCUCAAACAAAUACAGGGUUGUCUACAGGCAGCCUAGUUUUCACCGUAUGCAAUCAACUGCUAACUAUGAAAUCAAAACAAAAACAAUUCGAUCUUGCUUAUCCUCUUACAACAUGAGCAAUAAAAUUAAUGAGUGACUAUGGAAUCUUUUGGUUACGACCGACAGGGGCGCAAGUACUGGUUUCUUCCAUACGCAUCAUUGUCGAAGAAGCUGGCAGCCAGAAAGAACAUAUUUGAAGAUGACGAAGGAACUGUUGCCGCGGAGGUCCUUAAGAUUACGUUGGGCAGGAUACAUGAAGACCAUUGUACCCAAGCAAUCCUCUUGACCUCAGUAAGGACUAGGCGCCAAUAAGGAGAGUCCCCCGCAAAUGUAACUUGUCGCAUAAGUUCUCCGUUGCCCAAACGUUAUCACGUCCCAUUAUGCCAUAGGCCUUAAACACCAGAAACACUAAGGGUAUGAAAUUCAUCUUAAGUUACUGUCAAUUGAGUUCGACCGUAUCACGGAGUGAAGCAUCUAGCCCGAUGUCAUUCAAGAUUUCCAUCACGGCCCCAAGAAUUCAUAGGAAUUCAAUGAAUUCAUAGGAGGAAACGUGAAAGGGUCGUGGCCGUCGUGCAACCUACCGUCAAC
rnacentral:lncRNA from 1 species